rnacentral:rRNA from 1 species
AUUGAACGCUGGCGGCAGGCCUAACACAUGCAAGUCGAACGAGUGGCGGACGGGUGAGUAAUGUCUGGGAAUCUGCCUUAUGGAGGGGGAUAACUACUGGAAACUGUAGCUAAUACCGCAUACCAUCGGAUGUGCCCAGGUGGGAUUAGCUAGUUGGUGGGGUAAAGGCUCACCUAGCCGACGAUCGCUAGCUGGUCUGAGAGGAUGACCAGCCACACUGGAACUGAGACACGGUCCAGACUCCUACGGGAGGCAGCAGUGGGGAAUAUUGCACAAUGGGCGCAAGCCUGAGGCAGCCAUGCCGCGUGUAUGAAGAAGGCCUUCGGGUUGUAAAGUACUUUCAGUGGGGAGGCGUUACCCGCAGAAGAAGCACCGGCUAACUCCGUGCCAGCCGCCGCGGUAAUUC